rnacentral:lncRNA from 1 species
CUGUUUCAGGGACACCAGUUCCUCCCAUCAUUAGCAUAUGGGCCAACAUGUUCCCCAACUUCCUACUGGCAAAGAGGCCUGAAUCUUCAAGGCUUUCCAUCUCUGCUCUGCCAGUUUUCUGGUGAACUUGUCUCAGCCAAAUUUUUUAGCCACAAGGAAGUAAUUUUCUCCUAUUUCAACAUUCCAUGCCUCUUCUCAGAAGUCUCUUUGGGUUUCAGUUGGCUUGAAACUGGAGACUUCUGCUUUGAUGUUGAAGUUAAUUUCCUGAUGAGAGAGCCCAGCAGUGUGGAGUGGGUACAACAGCUGUGGGAAGGAAAGACCCGCCAAAGCACUCUCCACAGCAGAGGAGUAACUCAUCCCCUACAGUGGUCUAACCUGAGACCUCUUUCUACUCCCUCCUACAGCAAUUCCUCCCCAUACCAGGACCCAGCCAGGACCAGCAGUUCCAUUGGGAAGGAGCUGAGGAGCCUGGCAGCAUCUUACAGCCAGGGACCAUCCCACAAUGCCAGCUAGGAGCAGGGUAACCAGGGACAAGUAAGGACAGCCCCAGAACCAUGCACCUGCAGGAGGACAGGGCCAGGCCAGGUCAUGGCUAAGCCCAGUUGAGCAGGGCUCAUGGCUGAGCCAGCCUGUGGGAAGCUGGAGUCCAGAGGCUCCAGGGGUGGCAUGGGGACCUGGGGCAGGUGGGGGAUCCCUGGGCAGGCUCAGCAGGGACAAACAGGGCUGUCAGAGCCUUUCAAUAUCCAGCACCUGCUAUAAAGUCUAAUAAUACAUGACUCUUUUCAAUAAAAGUCACUUAGGAUUUCUUAAAGCUUUUUGA